CAGUAGCCACGGGAAUACGGAGGGGGCUAGCGUUGUUCGGAAUUACUGGGCGUAAAGCGCACGUAGGCGGCUUGGUAAGUUAGAGGUGAAAGCCUGGGGCUCAACUCCAGAAUUGCCUUUAAGACUGCCGAGCUAGCAGGUGAGAGAGGUAAGUGGAAUUCCGAGUGUAGAGGUGAAAUUCGUAGAUAUUCGGAAGAACACCAGUGGCGAAGGCGGCUUACUGGCUCAUACUGGACGCUGAGGUGCGAAAGCGUGGGGAGCAAACAGGAUUAGAUACCCCCGUAGUCCCUGUCUCUUAUAC
rnacentral:rRNA from 1 species